AUCAGCCCUGAAUGCCGUCGAAGCAGCUCAAGGGUCUGGCGCGGGAUAGACAAAAAACCCAAAAAGGAUGAGAGGCUGACAGCUCCUGUCCUGGGGCGGUUUCUCUCUUGCCACCGGCAUCAGGGAGAUGGAGCUGGGUGUUUCUCUCCUGCCCCGGCCCCGGGCUGUCGAACUGGCUCAUUGCAAGCUGGCCGGAGGCAGGUGGCCUGACGUUACUCCUGGAGCCUGGUUUGCCCUUUGCAGAGGAGGUGACAAAAGUGCGCGGGGUUUGCUGCGAGAAGUAGCCGUGCUGCUCCGGCAAGGUGACCGGGAAGUAUGUCCUGAGAUCACAGAUCAAGCCUAUCAUGGAGGGGACAUGCCAAUGGUCCAAGGAGGCUGUGAGAAGCACCCUAUGCUGACUGGACCGUGAGACCCAGGGCACCUCUUCCAUCGUGCCCUCAGUGCGAGCCGGGCCAGCAAGGGCAGGGGCACCUGCAGACAUGGGGUUUGGCCCAUCGUCCUGUCCGCGGGGACCCGGGGUGAAUGAAGCCAACGUGCCUCAGCACUUCAUAGGACGCCCACGGAGGAUACACCUGCUUCUCUGCCACUACGUGGAGCAGCACGGAGGUGUCCAGCAAGGCCCCAGGAUCUGUCGGCUGCACCGUACCAUUGCACUGGGUCCGGGAGGGCUGGUCUGGGGUGGCUUGAUAUCCAGGGGUUGAAGUGGUUUGGGACCUCCAAAAAUGCAAUAAAGAA